GGAGCUUUGAAGACAUCGCAGAAUCAAACAUAAAGAUUUCAGAAAACUUUCAGGGAAAAAUGGAAACUGGAGUCUUGGAAAGCAGCUCAUCCAACCUUAGUUUUGAUGGUUCAUAUGAUUUGGCUGCUUAUAUGAGAACUAUCAGGUUGAUCAUGUGAUCUGUAAUAGAUGAUUUGGAAGAAGUUUGGCCAUUCAAACACGGCUUUAGUUUCACAUGCCGUGUCCAGAAAGUGUCAUAAGUUCGUUUAGUAUUUACUAGAACUAGCAAGACUACUAACCCCAGUGAGUAAAACUAAAAGAUGUCGAAAACAGAAUGGGUACCGCAUCAUAUUAGAUUCAUGUACGGCCAUCAUGUUUCGAAUUGCGUUUGGUUGCUUAAGCUAUGAUGAAAUUGAACUGCUUGGCUUAGCUGU